rnacentral:rRNA from 1 species
UACGUAGGGUGCAAGCGUUAAUCGGAAUUACUGGGCGUAAAGCGUGCGCAGGCGGUUAUGUAAGUCAGAUGUGAAAUCCCCGGGCUCAACCUGGGAACGGCAUUUGAGACUGCAUAGCUAGAGUGUGUCAGAGGGGGGUAGAAUUCCACGUGUAGCAGUGAAAUGCGUAGAGAUGUGGAGGAACACCGAUGGCGAAGGCAGCCCCCUGGGAUAACACUGACGCUCAUGCACGAAAGCGUGGGGAGCAAACAGG